GCAAACUUGGUCAUUUAGAGGAAGUAAAAGUCGUAACAAGGUUUCCGUAGGUGAACCUGCGGAAGGAUCAUUACAAAUCAAAAUUGGAGAAUAAAUCAGUUUUAAAAAGUUAAUGGGUAAAGUUAUAUUUACCAUCAAUUUUGACAAACACUGGUUUAUUUUACAACAUAUGCACGGAGUUUGUAAAAGAACUCUGAUGUUUACGCUUGUUUUGUUUGACAGAUAAUAAUGUGACUUUUAAAAUAAUGACAACUUUUAACAAUGGAUCUCUUGGCUCUUGCAUCGAUGAAGAACGCAGC
rnacentral:misc_RNA from 1 species